rnacentral:rRNA from 1 species
GACGAACGCUGGCGGCGUGCUUAACACAUGCAAGUCGAACGGUGAAGCGCCUUCCUUUUUGGUGGGUGUGGAUGAGUGGCGAACGGGUGAGUAACACGUGAGUAACCUGCCCCCUUCUUCUGGAUAACCGCAUGAAAGUGUGGCUAAUACGGGAUAUUCUGGGUCUGUCGCAUGAUGGGUCUGGGAAAGAUAUUGUUUCGGUGGGGGAUGGGCUCGCGGCCUAUCAGCUUGUUGGUGGGGUGAUGGCCUACCAAGGCGGGGACGGGUAGCCGGCCUGAGAGGGUGGACGGUCACACUGGGACUGAGACACGGCCCAGACUCCUACGGGAGGCAGCAGUGGGGAAUAUUGCACAAUGGGCGCAAGCCUGAUGCAGCGACGCCGCGUGAGGGAUGGAGGCCUUCGGGUUGUGAACCUCUUUCGCCAGUGAAGCAGGCCUGCCCCGUUUGUGGGUGGGUUGACGGUAGCUGGAUAAGAAGCGCCGGCUAACUACGUG